UACGGAGGGGGCUAGCGUUGUUCGGAAUUACUGGGCGUAAAGCGCACGUAGGCGGAUCAGUCAGUUAGAGGUGAAAGCCCAGGGCUCAACCCUGGAACUGCCUUUAAUACUGCUGGUCUGGAGUCCGAGAGAGGUGAGUGGAAUUCCGAGUGUAGAGGUGAAAUUCGUAGAUAUUCGGAGGAACACCAGUGGCGAAGGCGGCUCACUGGCUCGGUACUGACGCUGAGACGCGAAAGCGUGGGGAGCAAACAGG
rnacentral:rRNA from 1 species